AAUCAACGCUGGCGGCGCGCCUAACACAUGCAAGUCGAGCGAGAAAGUGGAGCAAUCCAUGAGUAGAGCGGCGUACGGGUGAGUAACACGUGGGUAUCUACCUCUUAGUGGGGAAUAACCCUGGGAAACCGGGGCUAAUACUGCAUAAUCCCGAGAGGGGAAAGCAGCAAUGCGCUGAGAGAGGAGCCCGCGGCCGAUUAGCUAGUUGGUGAGGUAACGGCUCACCAAGGCGAAGAUCGGUAGCCGGCCUGAGAGGGCACACGGCCACACUGGCACUGAAACACGGGCCAGACUCCUACGGGAGGCAGCAGUGGGGAAUCUUGCACAAUGGGGGAAACCCUGAUGCAGCGACGCCGCGUGAGCGAUGAAGCCCUUCGGGGUGUAAAGCUCUUUCGGCAGGGAAGAUUAUGACGGUACCUGCAGAAGCAGCUGCGGCUAACUACGUGCCAGCAGCCGCGGUAAUACGUAGGCAGCAAGCGUUGUUCGGGGUUACUGGGCGUAAAG
rnacentral:rRNA from 1 species